rnacentral:rRNA from 1 species
AUACGGAGGAUGCGAGCGUUAUCCGGAUUUAUUGGGUUUAAAGGGAGCGUAGGCGGGAGCUUAAGUCAGCGGUUAAAUGGUGCGGCUCAACCGUGCCCUGCCGUUGAAACUGGGUUUCUUGAGAGUGCAAGAGGCGGAUGGAAUUCAUGGUGUAGCGGUGAAAUGCUUAGAUAUCAUGAAGAACUCCGAUUGCGAAGGCAGUCCGCUGGGGCACGUCUGACGCUGAUGCUCGAAGGUGCGGGAAUCAAACAGGAUUAGAUACCCUGGUAGUCCUCACGGUAAACGAUGAUUACCCGCUGUCGGCGGCAGACAGUCGGCGGCCAAGCGAAAGCGAUAAGUAAUCCACCUGGGGAGUACGCCGGCAACGGUGAAACUCAAAGGAAUUGACGGGG